UACGGGGGGGGCAAGCGUUGUUCGGAAUUACUGGGCGUAAAGGGCUCGUAGGCGGCCAACUAAGUCAGACGUGAAAUCCCUCGGCUUAACUGGGGAACUGCGUCUGAUACUGGAUGGCUAGAGUGUGGGAGAGGAAUGCGGAAUUCCAGGUGUAGCGGUGAAAUGCGUAGAGAUCCGGAGGAACACCGGAGGCGAAGGCGGCCUACUGGGCUGCACCUGACGCUGAGCCGCGAAAGCCAGGGGAGCGAACGGG
rnacentral:rRNA from 1 species